CCUGGCUCAGGAUGAACGCUAGCUACAGGCUUAACACAUGCAAGUCGAGGGGCAGCAUGGUCUUAGCUUGCUAAGGCCGAUGGCGACCGGCGCACGGGUGAGUAACACGUAUCCAACCUGCCGUCUACUCUUGGACAGCCUUCUGAAAGGAAGAUUAAUACAAGAUGGCAUCAUGAGUCCGCAUGUUCACAUGAUUAAAGGUAUUCCGGUAGACGAUGGGGAUGCGUUCCAUUAGAUAGUAGGCGGGGUAACGGCCCACCUAGUCUUCGAUGGAUAGGGGUUCUGAGAGGAAGGUCCCCCACAUUGGAACUGAGACACGGUCCAAACUCCUACGGGAGGCAGCAGUGAGGAAUAUUGGUCAAUGGGCGAGAGCCUGAACCAGCCGAGUAGCGUGAAGGAUGACUGCCCUAUGGGUUGUAAACUUCUUUUAUAAAGGAAUAAAGUCGGGUAUGGAUACCCGUUUGCAUGUACUUUAUGAAUAAGGAUCGGCUAACUCCGUGCCAGCAGCCGCGGUAAUACGGAGGAUCCGAGCGUUAUCCGGAUUUAUUGGGUUUAAAGGGAGCGUAGAUGGAUGUUUAAGUCACUUGUGAAAGUUUGCGGCUCAACCGUAAAAUUGCAGUUGAUACUGGAUAUCUUGAGUGCAGUUGAGGCAGGCGGAAUUCGUGGUGUAGCGGUGAAAUGCUUAGAUAUCACGAAGAACUCCGAUUGCGAAGGCAGCCUGCUAAGCUGCAACUGACAUUGAGGCUCGAAAGUGUGGGUAUCAAACAGGAUUAGAUACCCUGGUAGUCCACACGGUAAACGAUGAAUACUCGCUGUUUGCGAUAUACUGCAAGCGGCCAAGCGAAAGCGUUAAGUAUUCCACCUGGGGAGUACGCCGGCAACGGUGAAACUCAAAGGAAUUGACGGGGGCCCGCACAAGCGGAGGAACAUGUGGUUUAAUUCGAUGAUACGCGAGGAACCUUACCCGGGCUUAAAUUGCAGAUGAAUUACGGUGAAAGCCGUAAGCCGCAAGGCAUCUGUGAAGGUGCUGCAUGGUUGUCGUCAGCUCGUGCCGUGAGGUGUCAGCUUAAGUGCCAUAACGAGCGCAACCCUUGUUGUCAGUUACUAACAGGUUCCGCUGAGGACUCUGACAAGACUGCCAUCGUAAGAUGUGAGGAAGGUGGGGAUGACGUCAAAUCAGCACGGCCCUUACGUCCGGGGCUACACACGUGUUACAAUGGGGGGUACAGAGGGCCGCUACCACGCGAGUGGAUGCCAAUCCCCAAAACCUCUCUCAGUUCGGACUGGAGUCUGCAACCCGACUCCACGAAGCUGGAUUCGCUAGUAAUCGCGCAUCAGCCACGGCGCGGUGAAUACGUUCCCGGGCCUUGUACACACCGCCC
rnacentral:rRNA from 1 species